rnacentral:tRNA from 1 species
UAUGGCAGAUUAGUGCAAUGGACUUAAACUCCUUUCAUAAAGAUUUUACUCUUUUAUUAAAA